AAUUGAUAUAAAAUUGUCCCACAUACAUAUUUAGACGCCCAUACUGUGUACAUUGUAUAUUACUUUAACAGACUUCUUAUAAAUGUAGGUAGUCUGGGAAACUUAUAUUAAUUUGAAUACAACAGUAAAAUCUUCAACCUUUUAAGAAUAUAUUUUCACCAUGUCAACAUUAUCACUUAUACUUCUGAUAUUAGGUGUUACCAUUCUAAUCGCGACGAUACAUGGAAAAUCGACUAUAACACUGCGCACGGGCUGCCAAAUUCAACAUCGAAGCAACAGAAAUAACGCAGAGAAAACAAACGAUUGCCUGUGGAAGGAAUAUUAUAGGAAUUAUCCACAAUAUUACUGGUAUUACCCUUACUAUGGGUAUUACCCCGUUUAUUAUGUCUACGGAUAACUACGAUGUAAAAUAAAUGAAAUAAAAACUUGGCUUAUGAUAAAUCGUUCGCAUUGUUUA